AGGAGCAGAUGGAAAAGUUGAAGCAAAAGGCAUCAAAGGAAUGUUCAGGUGUCUUUGGUCAAAAAUGGAGUAAAAAUACUGCACACCAAAGACGCUUACAUGAGCUCUGAGGACCAGGCCUCUGGUGGCGUUGUCCUGCCGCUGAGGCUCCGGGAUGAGGUGUGGCUGCAGGUGACAGGAGGAGAGAGGUUCAAUGGCUUGUUUGCUGAUGAGGACGAUGACACAACUUUCACAGGGUUCCUUCUGUUCAGCAGCCCGUGACAGAGGAGAGUUUAUAAAUCAGCCACACCAUCCAUCAGAAUCAGCUUGGUGACGAACUUUUUCAGAUGGUUUUACUUCACUAAUUCCUCCAAUUAUUACAAUAAUCAUAAAAAGGUGAAAACGGAAAAGUUAUUCCCAAAACUGAUUCUGUGUAACUUACUAUCUUUCCAGGAGUAAAUAUUGAAAAGAGC